rnacentral:rRNA from 1 species
UGGGGAAUAUUGCACAAUGGGCGCAGGCCUGAUGCAGCCAUGCCGCGUGUAUGAAGAAGGCCUUCGGGUUGUAAAGUACUUUCAGCGGGGAGGAAGGGAGUAAAGUUAAUACCUUUGCUCAUUGACGUUACCCGCAGAAGAAGCACCGGCUAACUCCGUGCCAGCAGCCGCGGUAAUACGGAGGGUGCAAGCGUUAAUCGGAAUUACUGGGCGUAAAGCGCACGCAGGCGGUUUGUUAAGUCAGAUGUGAAAUCCCCGGGCUCAACCUGGGAACUGCAUCUGAUACUGGCAAGCUUGAGUCUCGUAGAGGGGGGUAGAAUUCCAGGUGUAGCGGUGAAAUGCGUAGAGAUCUGGAGGAAUACCGGUGGCGAAGGCGGCCCCCUGGACGAAGACUGACGCUCAGGUGCGAAAGCGUGGGGAGCAAACAGG